AGGAAAGUAGGGGAUCGCAAGACCUUGCGCUCUUGGAGCGGCCGAUGUCUGAUUAGCUAGUUGGUGAGGUAAAGGCUUACCAAGGCGACGAUCAGUAGCUGGUCUGAGAGGACGACCAGCCACACUGGGACUGAGACACGGCCCAGACUCCUACGGGAGGCAGCAGUGGGGAAUUUUGGACAAUGGGGGAAACCCUGAUCCAGCCAUGCCGCGUGAGUGAAGAAGGCCUUCGGGUUGUAAAGCUCUUUCAGCCGGAACGAAACGGUCACGGCUAAUACCUGUGAUCACUGACGGUACCGGAAGAAGAAGCACCGGCUAACUACGUGCCAGCAGCCGCGGUAAUACGUAGGGUGCAAGCGUUAAUCGGAAUUACUGGGCGUAAAGCGUGCGCAGGCGGUUUUGUAAGUCAGAUGUGAAAUCCCCGGGCUUAACCUGGGAACUGCGUUUGAAACUACAAAGCU
rnacentral:rRNA from 1 species